AUUGAACGCUGGCGGAAUGCUUUACACAUGCAAGUCGAACGGUAGAGGGGGCAACCCCUCGAGAGGGGCGAACGGGUGAGUAAUAUAUCGGAACGUGCCCAGUCGUGGGGGAUAACGUAGCGAAAGUUACGCUAAUACCGCAUACGAUCUAAGGAUGAAAGCGGGGGAUCGCAAGACCUCGCGCGAUUGGAGCGGCCGAUAUCAGAUUAGGUAGUUGGUGGGGUAGAGGCUCACCAAGCCAACGAUCUGUAGCUGGUCUGAGAGGACGACCAGCCACACUGGAACUGAGACACGGUCCAGACUCCUACGGGAGGCAGCAGUGGGGAAUUUUGGACAAUGGACGCAAGUCUGAUCCAGCCAUUCCGCGUGCAGGAUGAAGGCCCUCGGGUUGUAAGCUGCUUUUGUACGGAACGAAAAGGUCUCUCUUAAUACGGGGGGCUCAUGACGGUACCGUAAGAAUAAGCACCGGCUAACUACGUGCCAGCCGCCGCCGUAA
rnacentral:rRNA from 1 species